GGUAUCGCCAAGCGGUAAGGCACUAGACUUUGACUCUAGUAUCCGCUGGUUCGAAUCCAGCUACC
rnacentral:tRNA from 1 species